rnacentral:ncRNA from 1 species
AAAAAGGUUAUGAGUAGAAUAGUAGUUUUGCUUUUGGAUCACAGAAAGUCGCCGGGAGAUGAGAUGGCACACCAGAAGUUUAACGAAACACAUCUACGAACCAAUUAGCUGAAGUGUCUAGUAGGCUAAUUCGCAUGUUUAGCGUUAUCAGGGUUACUGCAACUGUUCUCCGAAAGGACGACUAGUUGUUAGCAACGUAAGGUCAACUAUCGUGAGGUAGCUGACAAAUUGAGGUGGAACCGCGAUUAACUCGUCCUCGAA